GCGGGUGUAGUUCAAUGGCAGAAUGAAAGCUUCCCAAGCUUUAGACACGGGUUCGAUUCCCGCCACCCGCUCCA
rnacentral:tRNA from 3 species